rnacentral:tRNA from 1 species
UGAAAGAAGUAGAUCAUAUUUAAGCUGCUAACUCUAAAUUUUAGCGGUUAAACUCCGUUAUUCUUUCUA